GAUGGAGCAACGCCGCGUGAGUGAAGAAGGUUUUCGGAUCGUAAAACUCUGUUGUUAGGGAAGAACAAGUAUGAUAGUAACUGGUUGUACCUUGACGGUACCUUAUUAGAAAGCCACGGCUAACUACGUG
rnacentral:rRNA from 1 species